rnacentral:lncRNA from 1 species
GGGGGUAUUUAUAGGGGGAAGCUAGAGAUAGAUCUUGUUACCCAUCUCCUAUUAACAAGGAAUAGAUAAUGUUUCAAGGGGAUAAGAUUUAGAAUUCUAAUUAAUUGGAAUUGAUUUUUUUGGUGGAGAUAGAGAUGAGGCUGCAUGGCUUGGAGAGGAGGAGGAGAGGAUCGUACAGUCCAGGGAGGAGGAGGAGUUCAGCCAGGGGAGAGGAAAA